UCGAGGGAGAAGCCCUUCGGGGCAGAAACCGGCGCACGGGUGCGUAACGCGUAUGCAACCUACCUUUUACAGGGGGAUAGCCCGAAGAAAUUUGGAUUAAUACCCCAUAACAUUACGAGACGGCAUCAUUUUGUAAUUAAAACUACGGUGGUAGAAGAUGGGCAUGCGUUCUAUUAGCUAGUUGGAGUGGUAACGGCACCCCAAGGCUACGAUAGAUAGGGGUCCUGAGAGGGAGAUCCCCCACACUGGUACUGAGACAGGGACCAGACUCCUACGGGAGGCAGCAGUGAGGAAUAUUGGUCAAUGGUCGGAAGACUGAACCAGCCAUGCCGCGUGCAGGAAGAAUGCCUUAUGGGUUGUAAACUGCUUUUGUAAGGGAAGAAUAAGGGGUACGUGUACCUUGAUGACGGUACCUUACGAAUAAGCAUCGGCUAACUCCGUGCCAGCAGCCGCGGUAAUACGGAGGAUGCGAGCGUUAUCCGGAAUCAUUGGGUUUAAAGGGUCUGUAGGCGGGCUAUUAAGUCAGGGGUGAAAGGUUUCAGCUUAACUGAGAAAUUGCCUUUGAUACUGGUAGUCUUGAAUAUCUGUGAAGUUCUUGGAAUGUGUAGUGUAGCGGUGAAAUGCUUGGAUAUUACACAGAACACCGAUUGCGAAGGCAGGGGACUAACAGACGAUUGACGCUGAGAGACGAAAGCGUGGGGAGCGAACAGGAUUAGAUACCCUGGUAGUCCACGCUGUAAACGAUGGAUACUAGCUGUUUGGUGAUAAGCUGAGUGGCUAAGCGAAAGUGAUAAGUAUCCCACCUGGGGAGUACGCACGCAAGUGUGAAACUCAAAGGAAUUGACGGGGGCCCGCACAAGCGGUGGAGCAUGUGGUU
rnacentral:rRNA from 1 species